rnacentral:rRNA from 1 species
CCUACGGGUGGCAGCAGUGGGGAAUAUUGGACAAUGGGCGAAAGCCUGAUCCAGCCAUGCCGCGUGUGUGAAGAAGGCCUUCGGGUUGUAAAGCACUUUCAGUGGGGAAGAAAGCCUUGGGGCUAAUACCCUCGAGGAAGGACAUCACCCACAGAAGAAGCACCGGCUAACUCCGUGCCAGCAGCCGCGGUAAUACGGAGGGUGCGAGCGUUAAUCGGAAUUACUGGGCGUAAAGCGCGCGUAGGCGGUCUGAUAAGCCGGUUGUGAAAGCCCCGGGCUCAACCUGGGAACGGCAUCCGGAACUGUCAGGCUAGAGUGCAGGAGAGGAAGGUAGAAUUCCCGGUGUAGCGGUGAAAUGCGCAGAGAUCGGGAGGAAUACCAGUGGCGAAGGCGGCCUUCUGGACUGACACUGACGCUGAGGUGCGAAAGCGUGGGUAGCAAACAGGAUUAGAUACCCGUGUAGUC